UACAGAGGGGGCAAGCGUUAUUCGGAAUUAUUGGGCGUAAAGAGCUCGUAGGCGGUCUGUCGCGUCGGCUGUGAAAACUCGGGGCUCAACCCCGAGCCUGCAGUCGAUACGGGCAGACUAGAGUGCUGUAGGGGAGACUGGAAUUCCUGGUGUAGCGGUGAAAUGCGCAGAUAUCAGGAGGAACACCAGUGGCGAAGGCGGUUUCCUGGAGCCCACUUGACGCUGAGACGCGAAAGCUGGGGGAGCAAACGGG
rnacentral:rRNA from 1 species